rnacentral:lncRNA from 1 species
GAAUCCCCCAGCCUCCCCGUUAGUAACCACCUGUAAUUGGAUUGAAUCCCCCAGCCUCCCCGUUAUAACCACCUGUAAUUGGAUUGAAUCCCCCAGCCUCCCGUUAGUAACCAGGAUGUUGGUAAGUCAAUGUGUUCGGCGUCUCGCUCAGGGAAGGUCUAGUUACUGUAGAUCCAAUCAGAUGGGGGUUUUCAGCUGACGUUUUGACAGCGGAGGAGCGGCGUUAAUAAGAGCCGUCCAGAGGGGCUCCUGGGGUUUAUCCGAUGGCUGCACGGAGCGGCGUUAAGAUAAAUCCUGGUCUCGCUUAGUUUGGAUAGUCAUUCUCUGUUUUAAAUGUUUGUUUAACCUUUAACCAGGCAAGUCAGUUAAGAACAAAUUCUUAUUAUUUACAAUGACGGUCUACCGGGGAACAGUGGGUUAACUGCCUUGUUCAGGGGGCAGAACGACAGAUUUGUACCUUGUCAGCUCGGGGAUUCGAUCUUGCAACCUUUCGGUUACUAGUCCAACGCGCUAAACUAACCACUAGGCUACGCUGCCGUCCCUGUUGAUAAGCAACUAGUUAAGGUCAGCAGAAGGAUUUACAUGUAGCCUUGUAAAACACCUCGAUUAGGCUGUUAGGAAAACCUCUGAUUUUCAAAUCUGAGCGUCUUUAUUUUCUAGAUAUCCUACACUUUCUCCUUCCGAGCGUCUUUAUUUUCUAGAUAUCCUACACUUCCUCCUUCUGAGCGUCUUUAUUUUCUAGAUAUCCUACACUUUCUCCUUCCGAGCGUCUUUAUUUUCUAGAUAUCCUACACUUCCUCCUUCCGAGAGUCUUUAUUUUCUAGAUAUCCUACACUUCCUCCUUCCGAGCGUCUUUAUUUUCUAGAUAUCCUACACUUCCUCCUUCUGAGCGUCUUUAUUUUCUAGGUAUCCUACACUUUCUCCUUUGAGAGUUUUAACGCCAGUAGGACAGGGUUAAAACGCUUGAUCUGAUGUUGUAAUUUUGACUGAUAAUAAAAAACGUACUGUGUUUUAUAACAA